rnacentral:rRNA from 1 species
GACGUAGGAUGCGAGCGUUGUCCGGAUUUAUUGGGCGUAAAGAGUUCGUAGGCGGUUUGUUAAGUUUGAUGUUAAAGAUCAAGGCUCAACCUUGGGAGUGCAUUGAAUACUGGCAGACUUGAGUGCAGUAGAGGCGAGUGGAAUUCUCAGUGUAGCGGUGAAAUGCGUAGAUAUUGGGAAGAACACCGGUGGCGCAGGCGACUCGCUGGGCUGUAACUGACGCUGAGGAACGAAAGCUAGGGGAGCAAAUGGG